UACGUAGGGGGCAAGCGUUAUCCGGAAUUACUGGGUGUAAAGGGAGCGUAGACGGUAAUGUAAGUCUGGAGUGAAAGGCGGGGGCCCAACCCCCGGACUGCCCUUGGAACUGCAUGGCUGGAGUGCGGGAGGGGCAGGCGGAAUUCCUGGUGUAGCGGUGAAAUGCGUAGAUAUCAGGAGGAACACCGGCGGCGAAGGCGGCCUGCUGGAUCGCGACUGACGUUGAGGCUCGAAAGCGUGGGGAGCGAACAGG
rnacentral:rRNA from 1 species